rnacentral:rRNA from 1 species
ACGCUCGACACCUACUGGAGGCAGCAGUGGGGAAUAUUGCACAAUGGGGGAAACCCUGAUGCAGCGACGCCGCGUGAGCGAAGAAGUAUCUCGGUAUGUAAAGCUCUAUCAGCAGGGAAGAAGAUGACGGUACCUGACUAAGAAGCACCGGCUAAAUACGUGCCAGCACGCCGUAGUAUNGNGGCGNGNGAGAG